UUGAACGCUGGCGGAAUGCUUUACACAUGCAAGUCGAGCGGCAGCGCGGGGGCAACCCUGGCGGCGAGCGGCGAACGGGUGAGUAAUGUAUCGGAACGUACCCAGUCGUGGGGGAUAACUAUCCGAAAGGAUAGCUAAUACCGCAUACGUCCUGAGGGAGAAAGCGGGGGAUCGCAAGACCUCGCGCGAUUGGAGCGGCCGAUAUCGGAUUAGCUAGUUGGUGAGGUAAAGGCUCACCAAGGCGACGAUCCGUAGCUGGUCUGAGAGGACGACCAGCCACACUGGAACUGAGACACGGUCCAGACUCCUACGGGAGGCAGCAGUGGGGAAUUUUGGACAAUGGGGGCAACCCUGAUCCAGCCAUUCCGCGUGAGUGAAGAAGGCCUUCGGGUUGUAAAACUCUUUCGGCAGGAACGAAACGGUGAGCUCUAACAUAGCUUGCUAAUGACGGUACCUGAAGAAGAAGCACCGGCUAACUACGU
rnacentral:rRNA from 1 species